rnacentral:rRNA from 1 species
UGAGGAAUAUUGGUCAAUGGGGGCAACCCUGAACCAGCCAAGUCGCGUGAAGGAUGAAGGUCUUAUGGAUUGUAAACUUCUUUUACACGGGAAUAAAGCGGGGGACGUGUCCCUCUUUGCAUGUACCGUGUGAAUAAGGAUCGGCUAACUCCGUGCCAGCAGCCGCGGUAAUACGGAGGAUCCGAGCGUUAUCCGGAUUUAUUGGGUUUAAAGGGUGCGCAGGCGGGAUGUUAAGUCGGCGGUGAAAUUUUGCAGCUCAGCUGUAAAAGUGCCUUCGAUACUGGCCUUCUUGAGUGUGGAUGAAGUAGGCGGAAUUUGUGGUGUAGCGGUGAAAUGCUUAGAUAUCACGAGGAACUCCGAUUGCGCAGGCAGCUUACUAAGCCACAACUGACGCUCAUGCACGAAGGCGUGGGGAUCAAACA